ensembl:snRNA Gm22503 predicted gene, 22503
UGUCCUCUCUCCAGCAGCAUGUGUACUAAAGAAAAAGACUGGACCGAUACAGAGAAAAUUAGUAUAGCCCUUGCUCAAGGAUGACAUUCAAAUCCAUAAAAUAUUCCCUAAAAAU